GGCUAUAUAGCCCAGUGGUACAGCAUCUGCCUAGCAUGCAGAAGGUCCCAAGUUCAAUUCCUGAAAUAUCCA